CAUCAACAGAACAACAAUGCCCAACAACCCACCACUGCUGAAGAUCAAGGACUGAACUAUUAACCAUGCUGGAUCCAUGGUGCUAGGACCGGACUGAUAUGGAGGGAGGAAAAACAUGGCACUACCUUCUCCACCAACAAUUCAAAUGGAAGCCAAGAGAUAAUGAAGAUAUGUUAUCCAUAAAGGAAGUCACAUCACUUUUUCAAAAACAGAUCUCAGAUGGCACAGAUACUUGAAAAAUCCAGCAAAUCUAAUGGUUCAUUGUUCCAGGUCCCUCAGUACAAGUGAAACAUACUGGAAAGAGUCCAGUGUAAGGCCACGAAGAUGACAAAGGACUGGAGCAUCUCACCCAUGAGGAAAGAAGGAGCUUAACCUGUUCCCUGGAGAUAAAAAAAGGCCCAGGGAAGAUCUUGCCACUGUAUGUAAAUACAUCAAAGGAAGAUAGAACAUUCCAGAGAAAUUUAGAGUACCUGCGUGCGUACGUAUGAUAUUCUUAUAGAGCAAUUUCCAAUCAAAACUGAAGAGCAACCUGGAUCCUUUCUAUAAUCAGUAACUGUCUGUCAUCUGCUGCUUAAUCUUACAUAACUGGAAAAGAGAAGACUAAGAUUCUGAUUUCUCAUUAUGAAAUUGUUUGUAGUCAUAUACAAUAAAAGACAU